AAGACUAUACUUUCAGGGAUCAUUUCUAUAGGUCUUGACUUGAGAAAUGAGCUUCUAAAGUGUUUGGUCGCGCCAACCACGAUGAGGAGGCGAGUCCUUUCUUCUGAGCGGGAAGCGGGUGUCUGACGCUGAGCUUUCAGCUGUUGUUCAUCUUUGAUGAUCGUUCUGCCUUCCCAUGGGUUGAGCAGAGGGAGAAAGGGCUGUCUGAGUGGU
rfam:Scleropages formosus scaffold8863, whole genome shotgun sequence.